AGGAAAGGGAGGGAUUCGAACCCUGAA
rnacentral:tRNA from 1 species